AUUGAACGCUGGCGGCAUGCCUUACACAUGCAAGUCGAACGGUAACAGGUCUUCGGAUGCUGACGAGUGGCGAACGGGUAAGUAAUACAUCGGAACGUGCCUAGUAGUGGGGGAUAACUACUCGAAAGAGUGGCUAAUACCGCAUGAGAUCUACGGAUGAAAGCAGGGGAUCGCAAGACCUUGUGCUACUAGAGCGGCCGAUGGCAGAUUAGGUAGUUGGUGGGAUAAAAGCUUACCAAGCCGACGAUCUGUAGCUGGUCUGAGAGGACGAUCAGCCGCACUGGGACUGAGACACGGCCCAGACUCCUACGGGAGGCAGCAGUGGGGAAUUUUGGACACGGGGCGCAAGCCUGAUCCAGCAAUGCCGCGUGCAGGAUGAGGGCCUUCGGGUUGUAAAGCUCUUUCGGCAGGGAAGAAACGGUUCUGAAUAAUACUUGGAGCUAAUGACGGUACCUGAAGAAGAAGCACCGGCUAACUACGUGCCAGCCGCCGCAGUAAAAC
rnacentral:rRNA from 1 species